rnacentral:rRNA from 1 species
GAUGAACGCUGACAGAAUGCUUAACACAUGCAAGUCAACUUGAAUUUGGGUUUUUAACUUAGGUUUGGGUGGCGGACGGGUGAGUAACGCGUAAAGAACUUGCCUCACAGCUAGGGACAACAUUUGGAAACGAAUGCUAAUACCUAAUAUUAUGAUAAUAGGGCAUCCUAUAAUUAUGAAAGCUAUAAGCGCUGUGAGAGAGCUUUGCGUCCCAUUAGCUAGUUGGAGAGGUAACGGCUCACCAAGGCGAUGAUGGGUAGCCGGCCUGAGAGGGUGAUCGGCCACAAGGGGACUGAGACACGGCCCUUACUCCUACGGGAGGCAGCAGUGGGGAAUAUUGGACAAUGGACCAAGAGUCUGAUCCAGCAAUUCUGUGUGCACGAUGAAGUUUUUCGGAAUGUAAAGUGCUUUCAGUUGGGAAGAAAGAAAUGACGGUACCAACAGAAGAAGUGACGGCUAAAUACGUGCCAGCAGCCGCGGUAAUACGUAUGUCACGAGCGUUAUCCGGAUUUAUUGGGCGUAAAGCGCGUCUAGGUGGUUAUGUAAGUCUGAUGUGAAAAUGCAGGGCUCAACUCUGUAUUGCGUUGGAAACUGUAUAACUAGAGUACUGGGGAGGUAAGCGGAACUACAAGUGUAGAGGUGAAAUUCGUAGAUAUUUGCAGGAAUGCCGAUGGGGAAGCCAGCUUACUGGACAGAUACUGACGCUGAAGCGCGAAAGCGUGGGUAGCAAACAGG